UAGCAACUGGAUUUGCAGCAGAAACACCCUGCUAAAGAACAAGUAUCUUGAUACACAGCAAAAAGGACAAAGAAAAACAGCAAGUUGUAGGGGGUUGAAUCCUGGAUUAUUUCAGUGGACACAACAUCAUUAUUUUAUUUUUAUGUGCUGCUGAGGAUCGAACCCAGCGCCCCACGCAUGCCAGGCGAGCACGUUACCUAUUGAGCCACAUCCCCAGCCCACGAGAUGCUACUGUUGCUGGGGAAAUGUCACUGUUAAAGAACAGAAGAAUAUUAUUUUCAAGAGUAUUGCAGACUGACUGAAUCAGGUCUGGAACAUUAUUGAAAUGGAUGUGACUAUGACUUCAAGAGAGAGAAGAAUAACCUGUAUUUGUCAUUCAAGAUUCUUCGCACACUAUUCAGCCAGGUAAAAAUGGACUCUGCUUUCUCAAGGACUUACAGAUGUCCCCAAACUCCACUCUUCCUUCUCAAAUGUAAACAUGAGAAUCAUCUUUGAAGAGGUUUCUCAUAUAAAUGAUUAUGAAUGUCCUCUAAUUAAACACUGUCAUGGUCCAGUGUGCCAGGGUACACCUUAGGGGAUGAGGCACCAUAAUGAUGUGCUUCCUAGGCUGAAACAUGAAACUCUGGCCUCUGCCUUCACCUGGUCAAGAAUCAAGGCUCUGUGGUAUUAUCUGCCCUGCGCCCCUUUCAAAUAUGCAUGUGGCCCUUUCCAGCUCUUUGGGAGAAAUGGGAGAGAUUAGAGCUGCUGACACCCAGAGAAAUUGUAAUGAUGAAACUGAUUAGAAGUUGAUUUUGGAGGAACUG